UAUCUCUGUAGAGUCUGCAUAUCAAUAAGCGGAGGAAAAGAAACUAACUAGGAUUCCCUCAGUAACGGCGAGUGAAGCGGGAAGAGCUCAAAUUUGAAAUCUUCAAGGUUUCUACCUUGACGAAUUGUAGUUUAAAGGAAGUGUUUUCUGUUGGAUGUUUUGGUAAAAGUUCCUUGGAAUAGGACAUCAUAGAGGGUGAGAAUCCCGUAUUUGACCAUUAUCUUCCAGCUUUGUGAUACACUUUCAAAGAGUCGGAUUGUUUGGGAAUGCAGUCCAAAAUGGGUGGUAAAUUUCAUCUAAAGCUAAAUAUUGGCGAGAGACCGAUAGCGAACAAGUACCGUGAGGGAAAGAUGAAAAGAACUUUGAAAAGAGAGUUAAACAGUACGUGAAAUUGUCAAAAGGGAAGCGUUUGACACCAGUGUUGUUUUCUCGAAAAUCAAUUAAAAAAGGCAGGAUUUUGUGUUGUAUUGACUUUAUCAGCUUUCUGCACUCUUUUCUUGUCUUUUUUAAUGCACUUUUCGUUUAACAAGUCAACAUCAAUUUCUUUUGUUGUAAAAGAGUCAUUGGAAGGUGGCUUUCUUUUCGGAGAAAGUGUUUAUAGCCUUUGGCCUCUGCAAUCGGAGAGAUUGAGGUCUGCAGCGUAGAUCCUUCGGGGUUAGAUACAUUUGUGCUAAGUUAUAGCCUUUCAUAGACAACUUGUUGACUAUGAUCAGUCAUGUAGCUUACUCGCUUAUGCUAUUUUACCUACGCUUAGGAUGUUGACGAUCAGCUGAGCGCG
rnacentral:rRNA from 1 species